CAGCUGUGUGUUUAUGAGACCCUUCCUCCUCCUCUUCUUUUGUCUUUCCUUCUUCUGACUCCUUUGAUUUCUCUAGUUCUGGCUUUCGAUCCACAUGUCUUGGUCCUGAGAUAUGAUGCUUUGAUACUGUUUCAUGUGGCAUGUGUACUGUUGAAAUCGUCUCUAAUUUUGGCAGCACAGAUCCAUGCAUUGUCUCAACAGACUCUGGUACUAGUUCAUGAGACUCCCUUUUUGGCUGAGUCGGUAUGUGUCCAUGAGAUUCUAAUAUUGAUUCAUGAGGUUUCACUGUUGGCUCAUGAGGUUUAUGCAUUGCCUCAUGAUGAUGUACUAUUGGUUCAUGAGGUUUAUGCAUUGCCUCAUGAUGAUGUACUAUUGGUUCAUGAGGUUUAUGCAUUGCCUCAUGAGGAUGUACUAUUGGCUCAUGAGGUUUAUGCAUUGGCUCAUGAUGAUGUACUAUUGGCUCAUGAGGUUUCACUACUGGAUCAUGAGGUUUAUGCAUUGGCUCAUGAGGAUGUACUAUUGGUUCAUGAGGUUUAUGCAUUGCCUCAUGAUGAUGUACUAUUGGUUCAUGAGGUUUAUGCAUUGCUUCAUGAUGAUGUACUGUUGGUUCAUGAGGUUUAUGCAUUGCCUCAUGAUGAUGUACUAUUGGUUCAUGAGGUUUAUGCAUUGCUUCAUGAUGAUGUACUGUUGGUUCAUGAGGUUUAUGCAUUGGCUCGUGAUGAUGUACUAUUGGUUCAUGAGGUUUAUGUAUUGCCUCAUGAUGAUGUACUAUUGGCUCAUGAGGUUUAUGCAUUGCCUCAUGAUGAUGUACUGUUGGCUCAUGAGGUUUAUGCAUUGGCUCAUGGGGUUUAUGCAUUGUCUCAUGAUGAUGUACUAUUGGCUCAUGAGGAUUAUGCAUUGCCUCAUGAUGAUGUACUAUUGGUUCAUGAGGUUUAUGCAUUGGCUCAUGAUGAUGUACUAUUGGCUCAUGAGGUUUAUGCAUUGCCUCAUGAUGAUGUACUAUUGGUUCAUGAGGUUUAUGCAUUGCCCCUUGAUGAUGUUCUACUGGUUCAUGAGGUUUAUGCACUGCCUCAUGAUGAUGUACUAUUGGCUCAUGAGGUUUAUGCAUUGCCUCUUGAUGAUGUACUAUUGGCUCAUGAGGUUUAUGCAUUGGCUCAUGAUGAUGUACUAUUGGCUCAUGAGGUUUAUGCAUUGGCUCAUGAUGAUGUACUAUUGGCUCAUGAGGUUUAUGCAUUGCCCCAUGAUUAUGUACUAUUGGCUCAUGAGGUUUAUGCAUUGCCUCAUGGUGAUGUACUGUUGGCUCAUGGGGUUUCACUAUUGAUCCAUGAGUUUUAUGCAUUGGCUCAUGAGUUUUCACUAUUGGCUCAUGAGGUUUCUCUGGCUCACGAGGUUUAUGCAUUGCCUCAUGAGGACUCACUAUUGGCGUGUGAGUAUUUACUAUUGGCCCAUGAGGAUUGACUAUUGGAUCAUGAGGUUUAUGCAUUGCCUCAUGUGAAUUCACUAUUGGAUCAUGAGGUUUAUGCAUUGACUCAUGAUGAUGUACUACUGGCCCAUGAGAAUUCACUAUUGGCUCAUGAGGAUUCACUAUUGACUUGUGAGGAUUCACUAUUGGCUCAUGAGGAUUCACUAAUGGCUCAUGCGGUUUAACUAUUGGUUCAUAAGGAUUCACUAUUGGCUCAUGAGUUUUAUGCCCUGGCUCAUGAAGUUUCACUAUUGGCUCAUGUGGCUCAUGAUGUUUAUGCACUGGCUCAUGGGGAUUCACCAUUGUCUCAAGUGGUUUAUGCAUUGGCUCAUGAGGAAUUACUAUUAGCUCAUGAGGUUUAUGCAUUGACUCAUGAGGUUUCACUAUUGGCUCAUGAGGAUUCAUGAUUGUCUCAAAUGGUUUAUGCAUUGGCUCAUGAGAUUCUGGUAUUGGCUCAUGAUGUUUAUGAAUUGGCUCAUGAAGUUUUACUAUUGGAGAUUUCUGUUUUGGUUCAUGAUUUAUUUUUAUUGAUUCAUGUGAUUUUUGUAUUGGUUCAUGAGAUUCUGGUAUUGACUUAUGAACAUGAUAUUUAUUCAUUGGCUUAUGAAAUCCCGAUAUUGGCUUGACAGGCUCUGGAAUUGACUCAGCCGAUUCUGGCAUUGGCCCAACAGACUCUUCUUCAGUUACUUCAUGCU